rnacentral:rRNA from 1 species
AGACGGAUGGAGCAAGCGUUGUUCGGAAUCACUGGGCAUAAAGCGCAUGUAGGCGGCCUCGCAAGUCAGGCGUGAAAUCCCCCGGCUCACCCGGGGAACUGCAUUUGAUACUGCGGAGCUUGAGUGAAGGAGGGGAGAGUGGAACUGCUGGUGGAGCGGUAAAAUGCGUAGAUAUCAGCAGGAACGCCGGUGGAGAAGUCGACUCUCUGGCCUUCAACUGACGGUGAGAUGCGAAAGCUAGGGGAGCGAACGGGAUUAGAUACGCCGGUAGUCCUAGCCGUAAACGAUGGGCACUAGGUAGAGGAGGCACCGACGUCUUCCCUGCCGAAGCAAAUGUGUUAAGUGCCCCGCCUGGGGAGUACGGCCGCAAGGCUAAA